rnacentral:lncRNA from 1 species
UUUUUUUUUUUUUUGGUUGAUUUGUUUUGGUAUUUUUUAGUGGAUUUUUUUAAGUGGACUGAGAUUUUGAAUCUCCCCUCUCUGACCAGCAGACAUAAUGUUAAUAUAUGGGGUUUCUUUUUCAUCUUCUGAUGCUUAAGUGAAGGUGAAAUCGCAUGUCCCAUCUGUUUUCUGUGGUGUUAUCCUGCAAAGGAAAUAGAAAACCACAAGUAAUAAUUUCCUUUUCUAAGCUGGUGGAUGCCACCUCUGUUUUCAGACUGAUCAGGGCUCUCAGCUUCCCUUUGAAAUGUAAAAUUUGGAAGGAUAGGCAGCAGAAAGCCUGAGGGGAUGACAGGGCAGGAGCACCCAGUGACAACUUUGUGCUGGAGGGAUCUGAAGAUCACUCUGAGAGGGAUGAAGGCUGCUGAGAGAUUGACAGAUGCUCUCAAAUGAAUCCAAGGUGAUAAACAAAUAAUCCCUGAUUUUGGUGGUCCUUUCUUCAGCUGUCCCUGAAGCAGAAACUUGCAGACUUUCCUUUCCCCAGAUUGCUUCUGGAGUUUUGUGGGGGGAAAAAGUUAAAGAAUUGUCUGGGUUUUGGCCUCUUUUUGGGAGGUGCCUUCAUUGUGUUAUCUUUAGAAACCCUAGGUCCCUCCCUGCCUCUCCUUGUCCUUGUGAACAGAGAAGUGGAAGACUUUGUUCUCUCGGGGAAGGUGUGCUCACUUUUAGGGUGAUUUUUGUGUGUUUGAGACAGGGGAAGAAUGUUCUGCUGCUUUCAGAAUCCUCCAAAAGAGUCUCAACCUUUGGGGAGAGGAACUGGAAGGGAAGAGUGAAGAAUAAUCUGAACUUUGUGUCAUUGGGUUCUUCACUUCCAUACCCCUGUGUGAGGUAAACUAAUUUCCUUUGGAAGCUUGUGGAGUGCACUGCAUUGUUUCUUUGAGGAACUGGGGAAUGCCCACAUGCCUGUAGUGGUGUUGAGACAAAAAUUGAGUUUCACACAGAGCAGCUCUUUUGGAUGGAUUAGAGUCAAACAGUCCUCAUGUCUCAGGUUUUUUCCUUUUGGUCAGGGGUUUUUAUCAUCAGGGAAAUUAGGGUGUGAAUGUUUCAGCAGGGACUUGUAAUUGUGGGUUAUCCCCAGUCUGGUCACCGAAAAUAAAUGACUUUCUCGAGACUUUGACAUGCAGAUCACUUGUUCCCUCCUAGAAAUCUUGAUAAAUAAAU